AAAUAACUUAAAAAAAAAAGAACAAAUGUUUUCAGUCAUGCCUAGCAGACCUUGCUAAUGCAAUCUUUUGCUUUAGGCUUUGAUAUGUUAAAACCUAUUCAGUAUCUCAGAAAAUGCAAGGGAAGAAAUAGAAGACAAAGAGAGAUGUUUUGCUUUUAUCCAUUAUUAUGGUAGGAUAAGCACUGCGUAUCACAAGAGAAAAGAAUUUCAAUUAUGAAAUUCAGUGCACAUGUGAAAAUAGGUAAGGUCUUUGGGUAAAUACAGGCAGCCCAAUUAAAUUUGAAUUUCAGAUAAACAAUGGAUUCUUUUCUACUCAGUGAUUUAGUAACUUUUAGUGUAAGUAUUCAGUAUAUGUCAUGCAGGUACAUGGGAUAUAUUUUUAUUUACCAAAUUUGGCAGCCAAAGCAAUAGGCCAUGUAAAAUGCGGCAAAAAUUGCAUCUAUAAUUAAUAAAAAUUAGAAUCUAUAGAGGUGCCAAGAGGAUGCCUACACAAAUUCUUUAUGGAAUACGUUACAAUUUAAACAGCAGUAAUAUAUACUCCAUGAUUACAGCUCAACAGGAAAUCUCUAAGUGUUUUUGAUUAAGAUACCUCUUUAGGUAUGAGAUGGCUGGAUGGCAUCACCGACUCGAUGGACACGAGUUUGAGUGAACUCCGGGAGUUGGUGAUGGACAGGGAGGCCUGGCAUGCUGCGAUUCAUGGGGUCACAAAGAGUCGGACACGACUGAGCGACUGAACUGAACUGACCUCUUUAGGUGAGGAUUGUAAUGUUAAGAGAUAAUAAUUUUAAAUAAUUCCAUGUAUUUCGAUUCUACGAUAAGUACCAUUUUACUAACACUUUUUACUAAUUUAUGUGUAAAAAGAAUUUAAUCAAAAUGAAACAUCGCAUGUUCUCAAGAAAAAACAAAGCAAAACACAAAAAAGCCGCCCGGAGCAGUCUGAGCUGUUGGAAAAUAUAGUCAGUAGAGGGCGCUAGAGUAUCACGGAUGAAUUUCGACUCAUAAAAGGCUCGUUUUUUGCAGUGCUUUGUGGUACUUUGAUUUUAUUUAAAUAUUUAUUUCAGUCCACUUUGCCAUGCAGUGUUGCUAAUACAGAUUAGAAACUAAAGGCAGUACGAGUGUACUGUUCAGCCCUAAAUGAUACAUUUCUUUUGCCCAAGAUCCUUGACAGCAAUGCACUUUAGCCCAUGUUGGCAAUUGAAAGUACUGAGCUUUCUGUUUCGGCUUGAAUGCUCGGGUCUCUGCAAGUGUGUGUGAUUGUGUGAGUAAUAAUGGGUCUAAUUAACAAAGGCAGUGGCAGGUGGAGGUUUAUCAGGUGAAGGAUGUGAAAAUCCCAGUUGGCGUGGGAGAUGGCCAUGGCUGGCCUGACUUGGCUCCUGAACCAGAGAAUGUGUCACAUGUCACAGUUCUGUCCUCAUGUGGACACACCUAAAAGGUGUACGGAGGUCUAGUUAAAUUCAAGACAAUUUCAUUUCCCCUCCGUGCUGCCUAUGCGACAGAGAAGGAGCGCUCAUUAUGUGUCUGCUUUGGGCUAGGCUUGCGCUUUUGUAAGGUGGCUUCCCUGGUGGUUCAGACGGUAAAGUGUCUGCCUGCAAUGUGGGAGACCCAGAUAAAACAACAACUGAGGCUGAGAGAAAGAAUGGAUUUCCAUGGACACUAUUCUUGCAUAUAGUAAGACUCCAGCCUCUAUGACAUAUUCCCGAGUUCCAAAGGGCAGAUUAAAACAAUUACUAAUCAAGGGAGAAACAGCCAAGAAACCAUCUGAGGCAAGAUUAAAGGAACUGGAGAAGCUCAUCAAGAUUAGGAGACCAAACUCCUCAGUCUCUCAGGAGACUGAGAUUAGGGACUGCAGGUCCUGUAGAACCCUAAUCCUUAUUGGCAACCCCAUCCUUGUUAUAAAAUCUUCAUUAAAUCCUCCUGGGUUGGAACACAAUUUUGUGAGGCAUGAGCCUCCUGUGUCCCCCUUUGCCUGGCAAAGCAAUAAAGCUAUUCUUUUCUACUUCACCAAAACUGUCUCUGAGAUUCAACUGGGCACCAGUGCUGAGCUUUUGGCAAUCUCAGUCAAUUUAUUUGGCCUUCCUAUGUCUCACUUUAUUUCCUCAAAGUGAGGAACAUUUACCAGUCUGUUUCCUCCUUUUGAAAAUGGAGACUAUACUAGUACCUACCUCAACACUGUUUUGAAGAUUAAAUGAUGUAUAAAAGUGCUUGGCACAGAUACAUUUCUCAAGUGUGGUAGCUAUCAUAUUAAUAUAUAUUAGAAUGGCAUUGAAACAUGUAAAAUAUCAUGUAUGAAAUGAAAAAAAAAUAAAUGAAUACAUAAAUGAAAAAAAAAAAAAAGAAAAUGCAGAUGGAAGAAAUCCAUGAAAUUAGCAAUCAAGAUCAAGGGACUGACACGAAUAUUGAAAUCACCAAGAAUUAUAUCAGGAGGAGGGCUGAAGAGAGCAUCAGGGAGGCAGAUGUUAAAAUCAUCAAGGAAUAAAGAGGAGGGAAGACUGGGUUUGUGGUUGAUUCCAACA